AUUGAACGCUGGCGGCAGGCCUAACACAUGCAAGUCGAACGGUAACAGGAAGAAGCUUGCUUCUUUGCUGACGAGUGGCGGACGGGUGAGUAAUGUCUGGGAAACUGCCUGAUGGAGGGGGAUAACUACUGGAAACGGUAGCUAAUACCGCAUAACGUCGCAAGACCAAAGAGGGGGACCUUCGGGCCUCUUGCCAUCGGAUGUGCCCAGAUGGGAUUAGCUAGUAGAUGGGGUAACGGCUCACCUAGGCGACGAUCCCUAGCUGGUCUGAGAGGAUGACCAGCCACACUGGAACUGAGACACGGUCCAGACUCCUACGGGAGGCAGCAGUGGGGAAUAUUGCACAAUGGGCGCAAGCCUGAUGCAGCCAUGCCGCGUGUAUGAAGAAGGCCUUCGGGUUGUAAAGUACUUUCAGCGGGGAGGAAGGGAGUAAAGUUAAUACCUUUGCUCAUUGACGUUACCCGCAGAAGAAGCACCGGCUAACUCCGUG
rnacentral:rRNA from 1 species